rnacentral:rRNA from 1 species
UGAGCGGCGGACGGGUGAGUAACGCGUGGGUAACCUGCCUCAUACAGGGGGAUAACAGUUGGAAACGGCUGCUAAUACCACAUAAGCGCACAGUACCGCAUGGUACGGUGUGAAAAACUCCGGUGGUAUGAGAUGGACCCGCGUCUGAUUAGGUAGUUGGUGGGGUAACGGCCUACCAAGCCGACGAUCAGUAGCCGACCUGAGAGGGUGACCGGCCACAUUGGGACUGAGACACGGCCCAA